rnacentral:rRNA from 1 species
CAUAGCUUUAUGCAAUUCUAUAAAGUCAUGUCUGCCCAGUGUUAAUAAUCAACGGCUGCCUAUGCAUUAAAGUAGCGUAAUAGUUUGUCUCUUUAUUGGGGACUUGUAUGAAUGGCCCUACGGAAACUAACUGUCUCUGAGAGAUGCAAGAAAAUUUCUUUCCAAGUGAAAAAGCUUGAAUAAACUAGAAGGACGAGAAGACCCUAUAGAGUUUUAUAGCAGUAUCUCUAUAUAGAAAUACCCUAUUUUGUUGGGGCAACAAAGGAGCCAGACUCCUUAAAUAGAAAUUACUAAUAAGUAAAUUUAAGAUCCUAAAAUAGAAAUAAGAAAAACUACCUUAGGGAUAACAGCGUAAUCUUCCCAGAGAGAUCUAAUUGAAGGGAGGGUUUGCGACCUCGAUGUUGGACUAAGAUACCCCCAAGGUGCAGAAGCUUUGAAAGGUGAGCCUGUUCGGCUUUUAAAA